rnacentral:rRNA from 1 species
ACGGGAGGCAGCAGUGAGGAAUAUUGGUCAAUGGUCGGAAGACUGAACCAGCCAUGCCGCGUGAAGGUUACGGUCCUAUGGAUUUUAAACUUCUUUUGACGCAGAGCAAUAAGGUCUACGUGUAGAUUGAUGAGAGUAUGCGUUGAAUAAGCAUCGGCUAACUCCGUGCCAGCAGCCGCGGUAAUACGGAGGAUGCAAGCGUUAUCCGGAUUUAUUGGGUUUAAAGGGUGCGUAGGCGGUUGGGUAAGUCAGCGGUGAAAUGUAUAUGCUUAACAUAUAACGUGCCGUUGAUACUGUCCGACUCGAAUGCGGAUGCCGUGGGAGGAAUGUGUGGUGUAGCGGUGAAAUGCAUAGAUAUCACACAGAACACCGAUUGCGAAGGCAUCUCACGAAUCCGCUAUUGACGCUGAGGCACGAAAGUGUGGGGAUCAAACAGGAUUAGAUACCCUGGUA